rnacentral:tRNA from 1 species
GGAUAUAGCUCAGUGGCAGAGCACAUGCUUAGCAUGCACAAGGUCCUGGGUUCAAUCCCCAGUACCUCCA